GUUGCUUUUUGAUCCUUCGAUGUCGGCUCUUCCUAUCAUUGUGAAGCAGAAUUCACCAAGUGUUGGAUUGUUCACCCACUGUUGAGAGGGCCGCACCUCACACAAAAGUUGAUUGCAAAAAUGAAUGCAGUACAGUGCUAGGAAGUGACUCCUAGGUUGUCUCUCAAGGACCAAAUGUGGUUCGAGUCUCAGGUCAAACACGUAGUGGGGGGUUUUGAAAGAUUUUUUUUUUUUGAAUGCAACUGAACUUAAAUAAGACACUAAUGCAAACGGAAAUGUAAAAACGGUCUCAAUUAAAAAAUUAAAGCGGUUGGUCACUAAAGCUAACAUUACUUUUUAAAUUAAAGGAAUGAAAAUUAACCAAUUUAA
rnacentral:ncRNA from 1 species